rnacentral:rRNA from 1 species
UACAGAGGGUGCAAGCGCUGUUCGGAAUUAUUGGGCGUAAAGGGAGUGUAGGCGGCUUGUUAAGUCUUCUGUGAAAUCUACGGGCUCAGCCUGUAACGUGCAGAGGAAACUGGCGAGCUUGAGUGUCGGAGAGGAUAGGGGAAUACCCGGUGUAGAGGUGAAAUUCGUAGAGAUCGGGUGGAACACCAGUGGCGAAGGCGCCUAUCUGGCUGACAACUGACGCUGAGACUCGAAAGCAUGGGGAGCAAACAGG